ACCCAAAUAAAGCUUAAUAAUUUUUUUUUUCUUCUUCUUUUGAUUAGAGGUAUAUACUUAUUUUAUUUAUUAUUUUUGGUUUGAUGGGUAAUGAGAUUGGUAAACUCACGGUCUGUUUCACGGGAGCCGGAGAGGCUCGACGGAGACAUUACAGACAUGACAUACCGGUGUUGAUAUCAGACCCGCUUGAUGAGGGCCUCGGUCACUCCUUCUGCUACGUCCGGCCGGAACCUACACCGCUUUCCUCCUCUAAAGUCCACUCCGAGGAAACCAACACCUUCCGUACAAUCUCCGGUGCCUCCGUGAGCGCUAACACAUCGACGCCGCUCUCAACGGCCUUCAUAGAUCCUUAUGUGUAUAAUAGUAUUGACCGAGCUGCGGCUUUUGAGAGCUCAACUUCUUUCUCUUCAAUUGCUUUGCAACCAAUCCCGAGAAAUUUUGUCGGCUCCAUCAAUUCGGGUCCUUUGACAGGGAAUUUCGGGUCUUCUUCCGGGUUCGGGUCCACUGGAGAGGGGAUUCAUGUCGGGUCCAAU
rnacentral:misc_RNA from 1 species